AUUGAACGCUGGCGGCAGGCUUAACACAUGAAAGUCGAGCGAGCGGCGGACGGGUGAGUAAUGUCUGGGCAACUGCCUGCUGGAGGGGGAUAACUACUGGAAACGGUAGCUAAUACCGCAUACCAUCAGAUGUGCCCAGAUGGGCUUAGCUAGUAGGUGGGGUAAUGGCUCACCUAGGCGACGAUCCCUAGCUGGUCUGAGAGGAGGACCAUCCACACUUGAACUGAGACACGUUCCAGACGCCGACGGGAGGCAGAAGUGGGGAAGAGUGAACAAUGGGCGCAAGCCUGAUGCAGCCAUGCCGCGUGUGUGAAGAAGGCCUUCGGGUUGUAAAGCACUUUCAGCGAGGAGGCGUUACUCGCAGAAGAAGCACCGGCUAACUCCGUGCCAGCAGCCGCGGUAAUUC
rnacentral:rRNA from 1 species